CUCACCCUCAUCUGUAUGUAUUAUUCCCCACACUGACCCCCACUCCAAAGCCUUCCUCCUCCUCCUUCCCCGCCCCACAACUUCAAAUGGAAAUGAAAGCGAGGCAACCCAGAGCGCUGUCAUUGAAAAACCAAGGUCUGGUCGGCAUCAGCGUGCAGCCUCCAGCUUACAUUCUUGGUUUCUUUCUCCUCGGGCCUGGGUCAGCCUCUGAGAAGCACCACCCUCCCCGCCCCCCUCCCCCCGUUUGUUUUACUUAAUAGUGGUUCUUUCUGGGAAACCUUGGAAAGGGGUUUUGUGCAGCGCCUGGAUGAUUUAUGGAGUUGCCGGAAGGGCUAAUGGGAGGGAGGCGCUGAAAGAGGGAGGGGCAGCCUCUUCCACAGCCGAUUAUUUCAGGAAUGGAGGCGGGGGCGGGGGACGACCCUCUGGGCUGCCAUAACCCCUACCAUCAUCGUUAUCUGUGUAGGUGGGAGUGGGCAGGAAACUGACUGUCUGACGGUGCCAGUGGCCGUGGAGGGGGGCUGCGUCCCUCUUCCCUGCUGAGGACCGGUGUUCUCAAAGGGGGCGUUGGCUCGGGAGGUAGAGGGCGCGGGUUCCUACCUCUGCUGCCAUCAGCUCACAACCCCUCUUACUUAGGAGCUUUGGAGGCAUUAGGGAACUUUUAAGUCCCGAAAAAAGAAGAUACCAAAGGAAAUGCCAAAGUCAAAGUUAUUAUGUUUAAUUAGAACGUCUUCAUAUGUUACCUUCAGUAACUAUAGACUUUAGCAUUUAGAAUUUUCCUAGGAAAGCAACUUUUAGUUGAGGUUUUCACAUUUCGCAGGAAUCCCAAGGAACACAAUUAUUCAAAUACUCAGGAAUCAUAAGCAACCAUAAAUUUUAUGUUACUAACAGUCCAACCACUUCAAAAGCAAAAUUAGAAUUAUGCUUUAGCAAUUAUAGGAACAAAAUUUAUUCAAUGUGAGUGCAUUUGGACAUGCUUGACAGGAGAUAGAGCCUCCAGAAGAACAUGGGCCCAGGGCUUAGGGAGGUCUUAGUUCUGCCGUCCUGCAGAUGAGCCUUGACAAGCCUCAAGCCCUCCUUCGUUCCCCAGGACUUUCUUUUUGUUUGGUGAGGGCACUGAAUUAGAAGCCCUCUCCGUUUCUUCUCCAUCUAAAACUCUGUGAAUUGUCUUGCUGCUUAGUUUUCUUCUCUCGCCACUUUGUUUUUCACUCCAUAAGACUUAAAGGGUGAUCAACAAUCAAUCAGUCAAAUACUAGGAAACAGAACAAGGUGCCACUAGCAGGCAGUUGGCAGAGCGCGGCUUCCCGGGUGCCGCUAGUGGUAAAGAGCCCACCCACCAAUGUAGGAGAAGAGACUAAGGUUCGAUCCCUGGGUCAGGAAGAUCUCUUGGAGGAAGAAAUGGCAACCCACUCUAAAGUUUAUGCCUGGAGAAUCCCAUGGACAGAGGAGCCUGGCGGGCUAUGCUCCGUCGGGUUGCAGAGUCGGCCACGACUGAAGUGACUUAGAACACAUGCAUGUGCGACAUAGGACAGCAGACCUCUGUGCCCAUCAUUUGCACAGCACCUUCAUGACUGCUGCUAUAUCCACGUAUCACCUCGUUCUGAUACUGGCCGUCGGAUUGAGCCCUGUGGUUCAGGGCCAUAGCUGAAGGAUGAACUUUGGGCUGAAGCGCAGCACCUGUGAAGCAGGUACAGAGAGCAGUGAAGAGCUGGAUGCAGCCGGUGCUCAAAAUUCCUGCUAAAUGAAGGAGUGCUGCAGAGAGCAAAAUCUGCUGUUUGGAACUCUCCCCCAGGGUGCAGUGGAAAGGCAGAGGGUGUUGUGGACUCUCCCAAAGUGGUUAUGCAACGUGAAGGACAGGCCUGCUUCUUGCAGGUGCGUCAGAAGCUUCUCCGUGACUGCCCGGCACACUGGUUGCCCAAGAUUCAGAUCAAAGCUGCUCUCCACCCCUGCUGUGAGGACUUGGAAGCACUCCUGCAGGAAGAGGCACUGGGCCUGCCCCAUCUCUCCCAUCCCCUGCUGGAGCUCUCUUCAUCACAGCUCACUCGGGCAUCUGCUUUUGACCUCGGCGCCUUCCCUGCGCGGCGGGGCCUGGUGUCUGGAGGACCGCCAGUUCUUCCCGUCUGCCAAGCUGCCUCUCUUCUAUCACACGAGUGACCUGGGAAACCCCACCUCCCCCCCAGCAGGAGCUCAGUCUCCCUGGACUGAUCGCAGGAAAGGUGCUGCUCUGAGGGCACAGCUCCCGACACAGGCACCAUGCUCGGCUCGCACUCGAAGGCCCUUCUGAUACAGCCUUUCUGCUCAAGACUUUCCUUCUGUUUGUGUGCGUCCAGGUGUCCAUCUCAACAUUUUUAAAAAAUCUUAAAUAGUAAGGCUACUUUUGUUCUCUGUCCUGCACACUGCCUGUACAUAAACAUGCCUGCUGGAGACACCCGGUCUUUACAAAGCAGUUACGCUUGAGCACUUUCUCUCUCUCCUCCACCCUAUCUCAGGCUCCAGCACGUUUCCCCUCUGCCUGAAAGUACAUCUCCUGCCUUGUCUCCUGGAGAAUGGCUGUCCUAAGUCAGGCUCGCGUCAGGUGCCCUGCUGACCUCCUGGGCUGAGACAGUGCCCCCUUCCUUGGUGGCUCUGCUGUGCCUCUGGUAGCGUCUUGUCUCUACUCGCCACUCUGCACUCUGUGUGAAUAUCUUCCCUGGCUGAACUAGUUGCUCCUCGAGGGCAGGAGUGAUGAUGCAUUUAACUCUGCAUCACUGGUGCCCAGCACAGGGUCUGGCUGCAGAUGAAUGAAGCCAGUGAGGAGGGCUCUGGGCCCCGGCCACACUGGGCAGUGCCUUUCAUGGCAUUUUCCGUUUGGCCUCACCUCUUCCUUUGUCCUGUUUUUAGCCUAAUUCCUUUCAAGGCUCUGGCAUGGGACUCUGAGCUCAUUUUCAUGAUUGCUUUAAAUAUUUGGGGCUGUUGGCAUGCCAACACGGGGACCCACGCUAAGGAGGGAGAGGAAUUCUCUAGCUCUCUGGGUUCUGCCCAAACACAAGGAAUGUGCCAGAGGCAGGGGAGGUUCUGAGAAAAUGCCAGAUUGGGUCGAACUAAACCGCUUUCCUACCUGGCUUAGGGAGCCAGGAAUUUUGGCAGGAGACAAGAAAGUGAAAGGACACGGUGGCCUGGGGUGGGGGUGGCGGGUGAGGAUAGCGUCUCCUCCAAGAAACCCAAGCGGAGCCCUGGAUGAAGGUGAAAGGGCAGCAGCAGCACUGAUCUGGAGAAGCAGUGUCCGUGUCCGAAAAUGGUGAGGAGUGCCAGGAACCAAUGUCUGGACACCAUCCUGGGAGCCAAUUCGGAAAGUCAGAUGGACAGAAGGAGACUUUAAAAGUCUUGUCAUGGAAAAACUCGGAAGUCACAGACAUAAGCUCUCAGACAGAGCCUGAGAGUUGCUCCAAUCAACUCCCAACACUUUAGGGAUCAAGAAACAGAAGCUGAGAGAGAAAUGGGGUGACCUAGGCCACACUGUUCA